CUCUUCUGUUUUGUUUCUGAAAAGGGGAAAAAUUGGCGAUUUGAUUGUAUCGAUUGAAUCAAAUAGGAUAGUUGGUUGUACUUAAUGAUGUGAAUCAAUUGAAGAUGAACGAAGAUAUCUCGUCCAUGACGUCAACUAUAAAGGAGAAAGGUUCAUAAUCCAGAUUGGGACAAGGAGGUCACACCUAAGAAAACAGUAUCAAAGUCACCUGAAGUGAGAAUAAGCCCAAGAUUUGGAGGUGAGAAGAACAAAAUUGUUGGUGGUUCUAGUGCUAGGAAGUUGUUUGGGCAGGGCGGUUCAGAACCUACUCAAAAAAGUGUUGUUGGUGAUAACUUGAGAAAAAUAUCAAGUAGUACACCAGUUGAAGUUGAUGAUGAUUUUGAUAAAGAAUAUUGGUUAAAUAAUAUGAAAGAAAAUGAUAAGACUGUAAUUCAUCUUGAUAACAAAGAUGUGGAUGAAUGCGAUCCUGUAGAAGAUCCUGAAGCUGCAGCAGCUUAGUGAUGAAGACAAUGAAGAUGCAAGUGAUGCUGUACAUGUUGGAGAUUAAAAUAUAGAUGAAGAUAAUGAUGACUCAGAUGAGGAUGGUGUAUAACUAAAUGACCAAGGCAAGGUGUUUAAAAAAGAAUCUGAGUAUUAUAAGAAAUUCCAAGCUGAUAAUCCUGAGUUUGAGGAUGAACCUGCUGAGCUGUUUGAUGAUUCAAACCUUGUUCAACCAUUGAAUCCAUAACAAAUGAUUGUAGGUAUCGAGUUUCCUGAUAAAAAUGCAUUCCAAAUACAUCUAAAGCUUUUUUAUGUGUUGAAUGAAUGUGAGUUUAAAGCUGAAAAGAGUGACGGGAUUAGGGUUUGGUGUGGAAAUAAGUGUAACCAUAGAGGAGAUGUUGAAUGUAACUGGUUUGUUUUUGCUUCCAAACUUAAAAAUAAAUCUACAUUUAAGGUUAGGGUGUUACCUUAACUCAUACUUGCAAGGGGAUGAUUGUACUAGACAAGAUGAUGAAAAGGUAUACUGACCCUCAAUCAGUAGCUGAAGUUGUACAAGAAAAGUUGAAAAAUAGCUCUAGAUUAGUGAUUCCAAGACCAAGACAGAUUCAAGAGGAUUUCAAGGCUUCUCAUCUAGUUGACAUUACUUAUCAUACUACAUGGAAGGCCAGGAACUUAGUAAUGAAGGCUAAAUAUGGGAGCUAUGAAGAGAGCUACAAACUUGUUUCCCAGUUUUGUAAGAUGGUGUGUGACUCCAACAAGGAUUCAAUUGCUAGUUUCUCUUAUUGUAAGACUGACAUCGCAUUUAAGUCCAUGACGAUAAGUUUUGUUAGAGCUAUCAAAGGAUGGCAUGAAGUGUGUAGAUCAGUUAUUGGAUUAGAUGAUAUAUG